UACAAGAAGAAGAAUGAGGGGAGUUUUAGAUUAUUUUUACAAAAACUAGAUUAGGUCGGUGGGAGUACCUUGAUGAACUAGUUUACAUCUGCAUCUUAGAUGUGAAUUUUGAGUUUAAGACAUUGAAUUGCUAAGCUUAAGUUGGUUAGAGUGGAAAGAAGGUUAGGGGAAGGGUGAAAUUCAAUCUGAAUUGAGCUGGUGCAUAGGAUUAAGGGUUUGGGAUUCAGCUGAUGGACUAAAGUGGCGUAAGGGUUUACUACAGAGACAUGGUGGGAGUUUUGCACGAAACUUUAUUAGGCGUUGAGUGAAGCAACUGCAGCUGAGAACGUACCAAAGGAAACGGAAGGCGAGUUCUACGUUUGGUUUGAGUGAGAAUCCUUUAGUGAAAAGGGACUUACAAAUAAGGGUCGUGACAAUAUACUUGAGGUAAAUAAUUCACUGGAGAUAAUUAAUGAGGAUCCGAUACAAGGUUUGUCUAAUCCUUUGCAUAACUCUAUAUCUAUUGAUCCUUUUCUUCCAAUUGAAGUAGUUUCUCAAAGAGUUGUUAACCCAACUUUUAAAAAAAUACCUCACUUAGAAUUGGAGUUGUAUGCUUCCAAGUUUUAACGGAUUAUUUUGCUUUUAAGUAUCCACCACUUGAUGUGUUUGAUUCGAGUAUUGUGCAGGUUCACCAAGCUGAGGAAUCUUUUGAAGUUCCCGAAUUCUAUGUUCUCUAUCCACUUUCAAGUGUAGAAAGAAUUAAGUGUGGGGGAAACUUCAAUAAAAUGAUAGUUUCAAUAUUUAUGUUUUGUGCUAAUGUUUUUGUGAAGCUGUUAUUUGAAUUGCAGAUUGUUAUUUGGAAGGAUUACCAAAUUUUCAGAUUGUUGGUGUACGGACGAUAACAAUAACGUCGGACUGACGACGUUAAACCAAGCGCUUCGUGGGAGGCAGCCCAUCGGUUUUAUAUAUCUAUCCCUUUUGUUUUAAUUUUCUUAGUUUUUCAUAUCAUAUCUUGCAUUCCCAUCUUAGAUUUUACAAGUCCUAUAUCUAUAAUGAAAGUUUUGACGAAUUCUGACUGCACACUUGUCACGAAAACAGCUCUCGAGACUUCAUACAGAGUCCGAUUUGAGUGGUUGACCCCAACUUUUAAAGAGAACAGAUAUAUCUUUCUUUUCCAAAAAUAAAAUUUGGAAAUCGGAGUCUGUUAAGUUGGAGCGAUAGGCCUGGACAUUUGAGUUUCGGUAUUUUUCCAUAACUUUUUCAGAUUUCAUGUCUGUCAGUACGGAGGUCAUAAAAGUCAGACCGUUUAUCGAAACACUAUUCCCUAUAGACACCUUAUAGAAAAGACGCAUGCGAACGACUUUCGUUUAAGAUGUUUUUCCUAGUUCUCUACCCAUUUAUACAGUUUUCGAGUUUUUCAGGACUGUUAUGUCAGAAAUCAGAAUUUUCGGUUUUGAACAUUGAGGACAAUAUUGAGUUUAAGUG